GAUGAACGCUGGCGGCGUGCCUAAUACAUGCAAGUCGAGCGAACAGACUAGGAGCUUGCUCCUCUUACGUUAGCGGCGGACGGGUGAGUAACACGUGGAUAACCUACCUAUAAGACUGGGAUAACUUCGGGAAACCGGAGCUAAUACCGGAUAAUAUAUUGAACCGCAUGGUUCAAUAGUGAAAGACGGUUUUGCUGUCACUUAUAGAUGGAUCCGCGCCGCAUUAGCUAGUUGGUAAGGUAACGGCUUACCAAGGCAACGAUGCGUAGCCGACCUGAGAGGGUGAUCGGCCACACUGGAACUGAGACACGGACCAGACUCCUAAGGGAGGCAGCAGUAGGGAAUCUUACGCAAUGGGAGAAAACCUGACGGAGCAACGCCGCGUGAGAGAUGGAGGUCUUCGGAUCGUAAAAAUCUGUUAUUAGGGAAGAACAAAUGUGUAAGUAACUAUGCCCGUAUUGACGGUACCUAAUCAGAAAGCCACGGCUAACUACGUG
rnacentral:rRNA from 1 species